rnacentral:rRNA from 1 species
GAUGAACGCUGGCGGCGUGCCUAAUACAUGCAAGUAGAACGCUGAAGGAGGAGCUUGCUCUUCUGGAUGAGUUGCGAACGGGUGAGUAACGCGUAGGUAACCUGCCUGGUAGCGGGGGAUAACUAUUGGAAACGAUAGCUAAUACCGCAUGACAACAGUUAUUGCAUGAUAACUGUUGAAAAGGGGCAACUGCUCCACUACCAGAUGGACCUGCGGUGUAUUAGCUAGGUGGUGAGGUAACGGCGCACCAAGGCGACGAUACAGAGCCGACCGGAGAUGGGGGUCGGCCGCCCUGGGACGGGGACCCGCCACAUACGCCUUCGGGAGGCAGCAGUAGGGAAUCGGCGGCAAUCGGCGGAAGUCUGACCGAGCAGCGCCGCGUGAGGGAAGAGGGUUGUCGGAUCGUAAAGCUCGGUCUUAAGAGAAUAACGAGUGUGAGAGUGGAAAGUUCACACUGUGACGGUAUCUUACCAGAAAGGGACGGCUAACUACGUG